rnacentral:rRNA from 1 species
UACGUAGGGUGCAAGCGUUAAUCGGAAUUACUGGGCGUAAAGCGUGCGCAGGCGGUUGUGCAAGACCGAUGUGAAAUCCCCGGGCUCAACCCGGGAACUGCGUCCGAUACUGGAAGGCUUGAAUCCGGGAGAGGGAUGUGGAAUUCCAGGUGUAGCGGUGAAAUGCGUAGAUAUCUGGAGGAACACCGGUGGCGAAGGCGACAUCCUGGACCGGUAUUGACGCUGAGGCGCGAAAGCCAGGGGGAGCAAACGGG